CGACCUACGGGAGGCAGCAGGGGGGAAUAUUGGACAAUGGGGGGAACCCUGAUCCAGCGACGCCGCGUGAGUGAAGAAGUAUUUCGGUAUGUAAAGCCCUAUCGGCAGGGAAGAAGGAGGACGGUACCUGACUAAGAAGCCCCGGCUAACUACGUGCCAGCAGCCGCGGUAAUACGUAGGGGGCAAGCGUUAUCCGGAUUUACUGGGUGUAAAGGGGGCGCAGACGGCAGCGCAAGCCAGGAGUGAAAGCCCGGGGCC
rnacentral:rRNA from 1 species